CCAUAACGAAGAUCAACUGUAUGUCGAUACGUGAAAUUCUGGAGGGACGUCGGACGGCGUGGCGCGGGGACGUAAUGACGUGUGCCGUUAAUCCAUCUAUGUUCUAUAACAUGUACAACGAGUACAUGAAAGGAGUAUUCUAAAAGCGACUCAUGUAAACACCUCAAUCAGAAUACUGUCUUAUUCAGAAUAAGGUCAGUAAUUAGAUUACUGCUGUCCAUGUAAAUGUAGUCAUUGAGAACAAACAAGUGCCUUCUGUGGAAGUGGAGACUUCGCUGUAGUUUCGCCCUUAUUUCGCUGUUUAGUGCUGAGUGCCUGGGUCUUUAUCUCGAGAUGGCGUGUACGUGGACAGCUCCCUACUGAACGGACUGAGUGAAUAUUACACUGCCUUAACCCUCUUGGGCAUGGAGUUCACCAGAGCUUCACGGGUUGCCACUGGAGUCCUCUUCCACUCCUCCAUGACGACAUCACGGAGCUGGUGGAUGUCAGAGACCUUGUGCUGCUCCACCUUCCGUUUGAGGAUGCCCCACAGAUGCUCAAUAGGGUUUCGGUCUGGAGACAUGCUUGGCCAGUGCAUCACCUUCACCCUCAGCUUCUUUAGCAAGGCAGUGGUCGUCUUGGAGGUGUGUUUGGGGUCGUUAUCAUGCUGGAAUACUGCAUACUGAUCAUGCUCUGCUUCAGUAUGUCACAGUACAUGUUGGCAUUCAUGGUUCCCUCAGUGAACUGUAGCUCCCCAGUGCCGGCAGCACUCAUGCAGCCCCAGACCAUGACACUCCCACCACCAUGCCUGACUGUAGGCAAGACACACUUGUCUUUGUACUCCUCACCUGGUUGCUGCCAC
ensembl:lncRNA